rnacentral:misc_RNA from 1 species
GUAAUAAAUUAAGCCCUUAGGCUAAUGACGUUCUACAAUACAAAAAUAGAUUUGUGAUCGGGCAAAGAAGAAGCAUGUCAACGCCACAGGGUCCAAGAACCGCUGCAACACGUCAUUACCUCGACUUCGAAGGUGCACAGGUGUGAAUGGAAAUGAUCGAACCGAGCACAUACUCUGACGAGCCAGCAUCAAGUUCAGUAUCAACUCAUCAAAUGAUCCUUCCGCAGGUUCACCUACGGAAA